rnacentral:rRNA from 1 species
UACGGAGGGUGCAAGCGUUAUCCCGGAUUUACUGGGUUUAAAGGGUGUGUAGGCGGGCUAUUAAGUCAGUGGUGAAAUCUCCGGGCUCAACCUGGAAACUGCCAUUGAUACUAUUAGUCUUGAAUUUUGUUGAGGUAGGCGGAAUAAGUCAUGUAGCGGUGAAACUGCAUAGAUAUGACUUAGAACACCAAUUGCGAAGGCAGCUUACUAAGCAAACAUUGACGCUGAGGCACGAAAGCGUGGGGAUCAAACAGG